rnacentral:rRNA from 1 species
AACCAACAGGGAUUGCCCCAGUAACGGCGAGUGAAGCGGCAGCAGCUCAAAUUUGAAAUCUGGCCCCCCCCGCGGGGGCCCGAGUUGUAGUUUGCAGAGGACGCUCCGGGCGAGGCGCCUUCCGAGUUCCCUGGAACGGGACGCCACAGAGGGUGAGAGCCCCGUCCGGUCGGACGCCAGGCCCGCGUGGAGCUCCUUCGACGAGUCGAGUAGUUUGGGAAUGCUGCUCAAAACGGGAGGUAUAUGUCUUCUAAAGCUAAAUACCGGCCAGAGACCGAUAGCGCACAAGUAGAGUGAUCGAAAGAUGAAAAGCACUUUGGAAAGAGGGUUAAACAGCACGUGAAAUUGUUGAAAGGGAAGCGCCCGCGACCAGACUUGGGCCCGGCAGGUCACCCGGCGUUCUCGCCGGGGCACUCUGCCGGGCGCAGGCCAGCAUCGGCUCGGCGCGGGGGACAAAGGCGGCGGGAACGUGGCUCCCCCGGGAGUGUUAUAGCCCGCCGCGUCACGCCCCGCGCCGGGCCGAGGCACGCGCGCACCGCAAGGAUGCUGGCGUAAUGGUCGUCGGCGACCCGUCUUGAAACACGGACCAAGGAGUCGUCCUCGUAUGCGAGUGUUGGGGUGCCGAAACCCCUACGCGCAAUGAAAGUGAACGCAGGUGAGAGCCCUCCGGGGCGCAUCAUCGACCGAUCCCGAAGUUCUCGGACGGAUUUGAGUAGGAGCAUACGGGGCCGGACCCGAAAGAAGGUGAACUAUGCCUGCGUAGGGUGAAGCCAGAGGAAACUCUGGUGGAGGCUCGCAGCGGUUCUGACGUGCGAAUCGAUCGUCAAACGUGGGCA